rnacentral:lncRNA from 1 species
CCCCUGCCCUGCGGGCCUCGCCGCGCCGCCUUUGCUCGGGUGCGCAGCGCCACCUGCGGACCGCUCGUGCGUCCCUUUCCCGGGGAGGGGUCCGGUCCCUCGGCCCCGCAGGAGAGGCUGAACCCGGUGUGGCGAGGACCCGGACAGCAGCGGGUCCAAAGAGCGCGGGGUUCAACCUGAAGAAGUUCUGGGGUCGAGGCCCUCCGGGACAACGUGAACGCGGGCCACCUGUGAGAGCCACUCCGUCCACAGGUGGAGGACCCCCAAUCUCCUGAGCUGCUGUGAGGAUCACAAGCAGUGGAGCAGGUGCACCAACUCAAGACGUGGGUGACAGGGCGUAAGCCUGCAUCCGCUGUGCCUCCUGGCAAACAUGGGAUCCAGAACGGAUGAAAGCGCUGGCCUUCCAAAGGAUGAAAGGAACUUCCUCCGUUAUAACAACCUCUUGGCCUGCAGACGAUACAGAGCAGGGGUGCCUGGGUGGCUGAGUCGGGACAGCGGGGGUUUUCAGCAACAUCCUUGCAAAGCUGAUCCGUUUGAAACGCACAUUCAUCUGGAAGCAGAACAAGUCUGUUGGACCUAAUUAUACUGAACCCACAUCAGGACCGGAUCUCACCCCUCCAUCCCAACAACGCAUGCCAGAACUCAGAAUGCACACACCCAAAAGAUUCCCUGCCAGGAUCCCCCGUUGAGGGUUUUCACCAACACCUUCUCAUUCACCUAAUUUAGUAGUGUCUGAACACCGAGGCUUUGGAACGGUCCUAAUUUUACUUCUUCCUGCCUGAUCGGCAGGAAGUUUAAAUAAGCCAAGAUGU